rnacentral:rRNA from 1 species
AUGGAGAUUGCUGCAGCGAUAGUCGGCGCCGUAGCUACCGCUGCUGCUACCAUCGCCGCGAAUAAGCUCAUGACGCUGGUGGGCAAUCGAUCAUGUGAGGCGGCGGUCAAGGAAAAAGCUGAGUCCAUCAAAUAUGAGGUCAAAUGUAUCAAUGCUCUCAUUAUUGAUGCUGCGUCGAAGCGGCUGUCGGUCUUACAGACUGAAUGCUUCGAACAACUGAGCUGCUUGGCAUGUGAAAUCGAAGACAUUUUAGACUUGUUCGACGCCGGCAAGACCAAAGGUUUUUCUGAUGAGAUUGAUAAACUCGAGAUCAAAUCACUUAAGACGAGAGAUCGGAUACACACAUAUCUGGGCAUAGGAGAAAUGAUUGCCCCUGGGACUCCAGAUGGGGCUGUAGAGAAGAGGAACCGUAUGUUGAGAUAUGUGGAGCCGGGACAAGGGAUUGUCGGUGGGGGUGCAGAAAGGCCUGAUGAGCUUCAAGGAGAGAUUCAGGAUAUUCUUGAUACCCCUUCCCUGCGGGGUUGGCUUGCCAAAGGCCCCAACUUCUUGCCAGGGACUUCACAAGGGGCUGCUGUUGUCCCCCAAGAGCUUCUGGAUCUUCUCGAGGACUCGAACCACCGUGUUUGGGUUGUUGAGAACUUCGACUGCUUGCUCUAUUUGUGCUUGUUUCGUCCAAAUCAUGAUGUCAAUACGAAGCCCCUGAUGAGGAGAUGGGCGGCUGAAGGACUAGUGCAAGGAGACAAAGACGCAGCUAAGAAUUUGCGCUUCUUGAUCGACAAAAGUAUCAUCAGAUCCAUCCACACAAGCAACAAUGGAGAGGUGGAGACAUGCCAAUCUACCACCCAGAUGCACGCGUGCAUCUCUCAGAAGUCCAAGUCCCAGAAUUUUGUAAUGGUGUUUGACGGUGCGGCCAGUAUAACAGAUCUGGCCGUGGCCCGCAGGCUAUCUCUGCAUCCUAAAGCACGUGUCGAACUGGAAGAGACUCAUGAGUUACCUCGUCUCCGGACCCUGGCGGUAUUCCUUGAUGAUGAUGUGAGUGUAGACAACUAUGAAGCUGUUUUUGAUUUUUCCAGGUAUAAAGUGCUGCGGGUGUUGGAUCUGAAAGAAUGUGCUCCCUUGAGUGAGAAACAUGUCAAGGAUAUCAUGAGCAAUCACGGGCAGCCGCUGAUGAAAUAUCUGAGCAUCAAUUUGGGCAGCAUUGAUGAAAUUUCAAGCUCAAUCAAGAACCUGAAUCAGUUAGAGACACUGGACCUGAGUGGAACCGAAACAGUGGCCUUCUCCCAAGAAGUCCUCCUGCUGCCCAAACUGAAGCACCUUCUCGGGAAGUUCCAGUUUCACUUGAGGGAGAGCAUGACGACUCACUCGGGUCUAAGGGAGUUCCUGGCAAACAAGAGUAAACUGGAGACGCUGGAAGGAUUUGUCACCGGUUCGAGAUAUGGAUUUCAAGAUCUGAUGAGUUUCAUGAAGAGUUUGCGCAAGGUGAAGAUAUGGUGCAAAUCCGACGCAAGUCAAGCAAAACUUGAUGUGCUAUCUAGCGCCAUUACCAAGUUCAUUCAUCGUGGGAUCAAUGAGUCUCAAUGCAGUCGGUCCUUAUCGAUCGACUUUGAAGCCUGCACGAGAGGAUUCGUGAAUGAAAUAGACCCAGUAAACGCCAGCACACUCGGCCGGGUCGAGCUGUGCGGCAAACUGAGCGAAUUCCCUCCGUUCGUUGCAGGGUUGAGUCAAGUAGUGGAGCUGUGCCUCUGCUCCACUGGACUGAGCUGGGUGGCUAUUCGUGAGGGGCUGAAAAAUGUGAGGGGACUGAAAUUUCUCAAGCUUGUUGAAGAUAACCUUGGGCACUUUGACGUCGACAUACCUGAGAAGGAAGCUGAUCACCUCAGGAGCAUCCAGCGGAUAACAAUCGUGUCCUCGCUAAGGCUAGACAUGACAAUCCCAGAUAAGGCGCUGCCACUUCUUGUGUCACUUCGAAUCCUCUGUCAAGCUCUGGAUGUUAGUCCUGCAACUUCCGGUGUCAACAUCAGCCACAUGAAAGAGCUGGAGGAAAUCGCGCUGCAUCUUGGCGUCGACACUGCAAUAAGAACUGAAUGGGAAGAAGCUGCAAGUGUCCAUCCUCAUAAGCACGUGGGCGUCACUGAAGGCCCCUGA